rnacentral:lncRNA from 1 species
CUCACACCACGUCCCCAUCUAUUUGUUACACUCCCGGGCUGUUCAGGAGCUCGCUCCAGGCACUCUGCAGGGAUGAAGGUCUCCAGCUGAAUUGCUGCUUCCUCGGAGAGCUGAGGUUCUGACAGUUUUUCCUACUCGUCUCCUGAUCCCUUCCGAAGCAGGGAGCUCUACAACUGCUCCAGCCACAUUUUUUCCAAAGGAAUUAAUCCUUGCACAAUUUCAGGCACUUGCCAUCAUUGAAUAAACCAAGGCUCAGACAGCCAUAAUUUAUUAAGCAAACUACCUGGCACCAGCAGACAAACUCCAAGGCUCCGUUUUUCCAUUACCACUCGGAGGAGAAAGUGUCCAAGAGCACAAAGGAUCUUUUACACAACUUGCUCUACUGAUGUUUCCCAGAACUUGGAAUUUCCUACAUGUUUCAUUUUCAGUAAAGGUCACAUCUUACACAGAACCUCCCCAACAGAUGAUUUAAAACACAAGUAUCUGGCACCCAUAUUUGAAUGUACAACAAGAUUUGAGGUGAAACUCAUCCAGCUGAGUCUGUAAUGACACCAUUCCCCUUUUCCACAGGAUGGGAUAAUGGGAUAAUGCCUACCCAGCUUCAAAAGGAACAAAAAUCACUCAAACACAGACAUUAUUUAAGAUGACUGGGAAGAAUUAAAAGCCAAAACACUUCCAGGCACUAUUUCUCAUUUCAGGACCUAUCAUAGAUUUAAAGAUUAUCAUUUUUAGUCAAAAUAAAACCAGCAACGGUCCCAUGGAUGCACUUUUGAAAUCCAACAACACAAAACCAAGCGGAAUUCCUGAUUUAUUUUAGUGGGAGCAGAAGUUUACUACACGGAAAAUGAAUCAGCUGAAUAUCACCACGAGGACGCACUUAAUAACUCGAUUACACCCUCACUUCUCUAGAAUCUGGCUCUGACUGGGCUGAAGCCCUUCCCUCCUUUCCAAGUGUCCUGUAAAAUCACAAAGGGUUUUUUCCACACUAUCCAGUGCUGACUCUUGAGGUGCCCUGGCCUUUGGUUGAUUGGAAGGAGGCUCCAGAUUAGAAGAGAUUUAUUGAAAAGCCUGUUCAGCCCCUGCUUCGCUUGCAGCAUCCUCGAAAUCCAUGUCUGUAUCUCUUCCAUGGUGACUAAAUUUCUCCCCAAAGAGAGCUUGAUCCAUAAAAG